rnacentral:misc_RNA from 1 species
GAUGAGACGUAGCGAAAUGCGAUAAGUAAUGCGAAUUGCAGAAUUCCGUGAGUCAUCGAAUCUUUGAACGCACAUUGCGCCCUCUGGUAUUCCGGAGGGCAUGCCUGUCUGAGCGUCAUUGUCAACCCUCAAGCUCAGCUUGCUGUUGGGUCCCCGUCGUUGCUUUAACGGCGGACCCGAAAGGUAAUGGCAGAGUCCGUGAGACCCUAGACGCAGCGAGCUUCUAGCACGCGUCUGGACGUUUUUCGGGCUCGGUCUUAACUAGAUGAUAACUUCCGAUUGACCUCAGAUCAGGUAGGGAUACCCGCUGAACUUAAGCAUAUCAAUAAGCGGAGGA